rnacentral:rRNA from 1 species
GACGAACGCUGGCGGCGUGCUUAACACAUGCAAGUCGAACGGAAAGGCCUCUUUCGGGGGGUACUCGAGUGGCGAACGGGUGAGUAACACGUGAGUAACCUGCCCUUGACUUUGGGAUAACUUCAGGAAACUGGGGCUAAUACCGGAUAGGAGCUCCUGCUGCAUGGUGGGGGUUGGAAAGUUUCGGCGGUUGGGGAUGGACUCGCGGCUUAUCAGCUUGUUGGUGGGGUAGUGGCUUACCAAGGCUUUGACGGGUAGCCGGCCUGAGAGGGUGACCGGCCACAUUGGGACUGGGAUACGGCCCAGACUCCUACGGGAGGCAGCAGUGGGGAAUAUUGCACAAUGGGUGGAAGCCUGAUGCAGCAACGCCGUGUGCGGGAUGACGGCCUUCGGGUUGUAAACCGCUUUCGCUCAUGACGAAGCUUUGUGUGACGGUAGUGGGUAAAGAAGCACCGGCUAACUACGUG